UGAGGUAGUAGGUUGUGUGGUUUCAGGGUAGUGAUUUUGUCCCAGUCAGGUGAUAACUAUGCAACCUACUGCCUUCC
rnacentral:pre_miRNA from 1 species